UUCCAGCAGGUUACUGGGCCCUGGUGACUUCCUUUUCUUGUCUCCCGUGGGUGUGUUAGGGUUUCUGUGGUACAGACUGUUGUGGAAGGCAAGCACAUGCGGUUUAUUGUAUACUGUUAUAAUAAAUGUUAGACUGCCUUGCCCAUGUCCCCCGGCAGCUGGAUUGAGUCUGGAAGUGGCUAAAGUGACUAAAGGAAACCAGGAAUUGGAACUCCAACUCUCACCCUGCAUGGCCUUCCCCAACCGCCGAGGUCUAGGGUUGCCGUGGCUUCCUGCUCUUGCUCUUCUCUGAGUGCCUCAACCUCCCCUGUUGGCUCCUCCCACUCUGCCAGCCCCUUUGUUAAUAAUCUUCUUGUUGAUAAUAAUAAUGAUAAUCCUUAUGCUAAGUUCUCUUCUUUUGAAUCAUCUCAGUUGCCUUUGGCUGCCACUGGGACACUAAGGCAGGUCAUUCAGCCAAGACAGCAGAGACCUUCCCCAAUCAUUCAGGACAAAAUGCUUGUUUUACUUACCUAUUGUG